CAACUGUCUACGUUGCAGACUUAACCCCCAUGUUCGUUAGACAUUUCUCUUUUUCUAGUAACGUUAUAUUUAGUUCUAAACGUUUGUGAAAAAAAAUAAAAUUGACUACUUUCAAAUAACCACAAAAAAUGUCUGGAGCAGAUGAGAAAUACCUUGACGAAUUAGAUAAAUACAACAUUGAACAGGACAAAUACGAGAACCAUGGUCAUAGUGGAAAAGGACGGAGCAAGAAAGAGGCUGAACAGCAUCACUACGAAGAUCCCAGUGGCCACACAAGAAAGAAUGUCCAGAAACUUAUCAACAAUGCACACAAACAUACAGAAAAUAAGGCCGAAAAGAAUAAAAAAUGAUUGGAACUGUUCUUUCAUUGAUCACACAGUGGACCAAGACUUAACUGGACUAUGGCUGUGGUCUAAGAAUACACCUCAAAUUGCUUUGUGUAGACAGCUUGUUACAAGAGUUGUCAACACAAAAUGUUCUAGUCUUGAUGACAGCUAUUGAGAACUUUUCUUUAUUAUUGAUUUUGACUUUACCCAAAUAUAUAUAGAACUACUUAAAUUUUUUACUUUUAACUUUCUUUUUGCUAUUAAAUGAAUAAUUUUCUUUGGCUGUUAAAUUUAAUUACUGUUUUUUCCAUUUAGUAAUAUUAUUCUGUUGGAGUGGUUUUUUUUCCCUCUGUUUAGGUAUGGUAAUUGGUUGCAUACCAUAUCAUUAGUGUGUUUUGGUUAUUUGUUAAUAGUUGAAGUUUGUGAUAGCAUUUAUUCUUUCUAAGUUCUGCUAAAUUUAAUUUUGUAGUGGUUAACAUAAUGUUUGGUAGGAAAAGAAAUUAAAAAUUUAAUGUUAUAUGCAAAGGAUUAUUUUUCAUACCUUGAAUUUAAAAUGUAUCGAUUAACCUUUUCCCUUUCAAAUUAAUAUUUGUAACUUAAGUUACAUUUUUUUUUGGCAUUUAAUAUAAUCCAUUUAAACUUGUUAAAAAAAUGUGAUAUAUUUACUGUAAAUACAUUUUGUUAUUAAAUUCAUGAUUAUACCUCA